UACGGAGGGUGCGAGCGUUGUCCGGAAUCACUGGGCGUAAAGGGCGCGUAGGUGGCGCGGCAAGUCAACGGUGAAAGCUCGACGCUCAACGUCGAGUCGGCCGUCGAUACUGCUGGGCUUGAGCACUGUAGAGGCAGAUGGAAUUCCGGGUGUAGCGGUGGAAUGCGUAGAGAUCCGGAAGAACACCGGUGGCGAAGGCGGUCUGCUGGGCAGUAGCUGGACACUGAGGCGCGACAGCGUGGGGAGCAAACAGGAUAGAAACUCCGUGUAGUCCGAG
rnacentral:rRNA from 1 species